ACACACACAGCGGGGAACAUAAGUACCUGAUAGGCCGCUGAUUUUUAAAACUUCUCUGCUUACAAAGAAUGGAGAGGUCUGUGGCUUUCAUUGUAUGUACACCUCCAGAAAAUCACAGAAAAUGUAAUGCAUUUUAUUGCAUGAAAUAUGUAUUUGAUCUCCUACCAACCAGAAAAACGUCUGAUUCACAGUUUAAGAAACCCUCCUAUCCUCUACAUUACCUGUAGUAAUUUAUCUGUUUGAAUAGAAGAAUAUAUGUAUAGAAGACACCUGUAGUAAAUUAGACUCCAACCUGUACACCAGGUGUCUCCAACCCUAGUCCUUGAAAUCUACUGUCCUGCAGAUUUUAAACAGAACCCUGCUCCAACACAUGUCAAUCAAAUUAAUGGCUCGUUAUCAGGACUUCGCCAAAGUUGAUAGAAUGCUGAAGACAUAAUUCAAUUGUCUGAUUCAGCUGGAUUACAGCAGGUAUACAUCAAAAACUUGUGGGACAGGAGAUCUUAAGGAUAAAGGUUGGAGAACCCCAUUCGACUUUAAGGGCAACAUCAACGAGUUGUCUAUGGACACCAGAGGGAAAACUGUAGACCUGCACAAGACUGGGAUGGUCUACAGGACAAUAACUAAUUCUGGAAUAAACUUCACUCGCUAUGUUUGGAGGAAGAAGAAAAAGAAGAACGAGUACAGUCUCAAGAUCACCAUCCCCAACGUGAAGCAUUUGAACAGUUAUGCAUCAGGUUUUUCUGAAGCAUGACUUUUCUGAUAGACGGGAGCGUGUACCAUAACAUUCUGGGUAACAACCUCCUUCCCUCAUUGCAGAUGGGUCGUGUCUUAUAGCAUGACAGUGACUCAAACCAGGUUAACUCUGGAGUGGCUCCAUAAGACAGAGGUCCUGGAGUGACCUAGCCAGUCUCCAGACCUGAACUCAAUAAAAAGAAAAUCUUUGGAGGGAACUGAAACUCUGGUUUGCCCUGAACGUCGAAAGAUCUGGAGGAGAUGUGCAGGAAUGAUCCCUGCUGCCGAGUGAAACCUGGUCAACAACUACUGGAAAUACCUAACUUCUGUAAGUUAGUAUUUACGGCUGGCAAUAAAUACUAAGUUCUAUUUCUCCAUUGUACCACAUUCAAACUAAUUAUUAAAAAAUUAUACAUUAUUUUCAUGAUUUUUUCCCCAAGAUUCUGUCUCUCAAAGUUGUCGUAUAUAAAAACGACAGACCCCCAUUCUUUGUACGUGCGGAAACUUGACGCAUCUGUAGUGUAUAAAAUACUUAUUUUCCCCACUGCACAGCUCAUAGAAACACGACUCGUUUCAGCGAUAAUACUGUCUGAAAGAUCCACCUUGCAAAAUCCCCUGAAGCUUUCCUUGUCACGAAACGCCUCUCUUGGUCCAGUAAUGGGCAGCAUGCCUUCUUUUUCAUCCCAGCACAGUAGAUAAUGUCCCUACAACUGCUCCGACCCAGCCGGAUCAGACGGCUGGAUUGGUGAAGACAGAAUGGAUCUCUCUGUCAGGUGGCCCACCGCCAGAUCCACUGGGCACACUGCAAACACCUAGGGAAUGUGUGCCCCCCUCUGCUUAACCAUUAAACCCCCCUCCUCUAACCACCACCCACCCCACCUCUUCAAACAUCAGGCCCUCUGCCAAGCCAGAGUGUCCAGUUUCUUGUGUCCCUAGAUAGCUUCUGUGUAAGGACAUCGGGCAGCAAUCCCCGGCUCAUACCGACUAAUAUCCAACAAGGAAACUGUUGCUCUGCAGGGAAUUAAGUGUGCAUGCUUUGUUAGUCCCCGAGCAUUUUCAGCAUGUGCCAGAGCUUUGGUGGAUCUUAUCUAAUUACGCGGCUACAUGAGUUUGGAGAAAUAGUGCAAAGAGUUCAAGCAGAGCUGCUGAGCGCCAUGUAAAGGUUUUAAAGAUGGCCGAAACAGACUGUACAGCUGAUGUCACCACUAUUUUCUUCUGUUCAUGUGUAUAUAAAAGGCCUUUUAUGAAAAAUCUAGCGUUCAACAUACAGUUAGGUUUGUAUGUUAGGAGGAAGGAUGCUGGGUUUACUUUGUUACUGAAUAAAGGUCAUUUUUUUCAUGACAUUUUUGCUUACUUUUCCCACACAGUGAUAAUACCUGGACCGUCUUAGGAUGAAAUCUUUAUGCUGUAAAACAAAAACCACCCAAUGACCAUUACACAAACACUUGAUUGGACUCAGAUUUAGGAUAUUUGGAUAUUUAUCCCACACUCUAAAUCUGUCGUUUUGACCCUCUGACUAUUGCUAAACCAUUUUUCGCUCUAUUGUGGCAGGCUGUAAAAUCCUACUGAAAGAUACCACAGCCUCUAGAGAUCAAUAUGAUUGAUUGGUCUGGAACUAUGCAGACCUACAUGGAGCAAAACCCCAUGCGCUGUGCAUUCUGAUUAGGCCUGCAUACAAUAAACAAUAAAUCAAUUAAUCACAUGAUAAAUUAUAGUAAAGUGCAGCUAUGUUUUUUUUCUAGCUAACAAAUAAUCAAAGCCUAUUUAAAAAAUUAGCUGUGCAAUCAUUUUAUGUCAAACAGUUGCUCCAGUUAUUGCGUUUUUGUACAGCAACAAGUAUGUUUAUUAUUUAGUAUCAAUGUAAAACUUAUCCUCCACUUUGACAGUUAUGUGAUACAGCAUAUCCGUCCUGCAAUUAAAUAACAUGUUUUGUAUAUUGAUACAUCCGGUCUGAAAGAUUUUUGUUUUAGAAACUUCAAGGGAUUAAUGUACAGUGCAUCAGUGUAAGUCUAAAACAUCAGCAGCGUCUCUGCGUGUCACCUUAGUUGUGAUGUUUUGUCCAUUUCCGGUGUGAACAAUGUUUACAAAAGCGUCAGGGAUUCAAUAAAAACCACUUGGUCACGUGA